UUGACGUUGAAUCGUUGCCUUCAGUGCUGGCUCCGGCAAGUGCACGCUGGUGACUUUCAUCCAACACCCUGUGCACCUUUGGCCUCUUGCUGGCUUCGGCUGGCAGAGGAUUUUUAUACACCCACUCGAAUGUAAUGAAAUUAAUGUGUUGUGCGCAAGCACGAAUGUA
rnacentral:misc_RNA from 1 species